AGAUGUUGGCAGGAGAUGAAAACACGAAAGGGGAGGAUGGGAGAUUAAUAAGAAAAAAUAGGGAAACCGGAUUGGAAAUGCGAUUUGCUAAGAUAACAUACUUUUCUUUGAACCUUCUAUAAGGAAAAUUCUAAGGAAAAAAGAACGUCUGGAGUUGAUUCACCACCUAAAUUAAAUUCUAUAGGGUGCUUUUAAGAAAUGUUGCAGUAUUUCAAUACCCACCUAAAGGAUCCUGCUCUUUUUUCAUAUACAUUUUGUCGUGGGAAGGGUGUGGGAUCCGCCCAGCCUUGACUCCAUCCUGCGUUCUGGAGCUCGGAGGGCUGUUCCAGCAGGGGCAGGGGAGGGUUUGCUCUUCAUGGCUCCACAAUCUGAGGGCUGGAUCUCCUUUAAGGUUCAAGAGGUUCAUGAGCAAUGGAGGAACCCCUGACAUGACCCAUGAGGUAUGGGUGGAUAUAAAGACAGUGCUACGAAGGAUGUGGAAAUGUAUGAUGAUUUGGAAGCCAAUGUUCAAGGGGACCCUGCUGGAAGUUAUAAACAAAUGGUGCAACUCUUUGGAGGAAGUCCUCAAGACCCCCUUGGCAAUCGAGGCUCCCUGAAGAAGUUCAAGCUGGGCAGUGCAGGGGGAAAAAUGAACCCCCCC